rnacentral:rRNA from 1 species
UCAAACUGGGAUUAGAUACCCCACUAUGCUUAGCCCUAAACACAAAUAAUUAUAAGAACAAAAUUAUUCGCCAGAGUACUACCGGCAACAGCCCGAAACUCAAAGGACUUGGCGGUGCUUUAUACCCUUCUAGAGGAGCCUGUUCUAUAAUCGAUAAACCCCGAUAAACCUCACCAAUCCUUGCUAAUACAGUCUAUAUACCGCCAUCUUCAGCAAACCCUAAAAAAGGGACAAAAGUAAGCUCAAUAAUAACACAUAAAGACGUUAGGUCAAGGUGUAACCUAUGGAGUGGGAAGAAAUGGGCUACAUUUUCUACCCAAGAAAAUUUAAUACGAAAGCCAUUAUGAAAUUAAUAGCCAAAGGAGGAUUUAGCAGUAAACUAAGAAUAGAGUGCUUAGUUGAAUCAGGCCAUGAAGCACGCACACACCGCCCGUCACCCUCA